ensembl:lncRNA
CAAUGGUGUAGUGCCUCUUUAAGAGAACGGUGUGCUGUGGGUCCAUGUGACCGGUGUUCGCCCAAUAAGAAGGUGGCGCAAGAGUUGUAUUAUUGCCACAUAACUUUGACCCGGUGUGCAGCCACUUGAUUUAUUACCUGCUUUCCCUUUGUUAAAGAAUAAACAAACAAAAGUGGAAUACCGAAUAAUAUUCUUUGUACACCGGGUUACCCCUUCCGUGGGGAGAAAACGGAACACUGUGUAUUCGCGCUUCCUAAACAACUGCGUGAUGCAUUACCGCCACCGCGUGGUCGAAAACGGCAUUUCGCUGUUUCCAGCCGUAGCAGCCAUGGAAUGAGCCAGGGUCUUUUGAACAAGGGUGCUUUUUCAUUAAGGCCUCUGCAACUAUGCAGAAAUGUGCAUCCUCCGGGAAAAUUGAGGAAUUGGAAAUUCCUCUGGCCACUGCUUGGUUCGAGAUGACAGAGACUCGGGGGAUGAAAGCAGUAUAGUAUCGUUUGAUGCCAGUGAAACACAGUCAUCCGACUCGGAUGAAACAGAAGCAGAGGACGCAGCAGUACUGGUCAACGUUGUUUGCUGGAUGACCUGCAUUUUCCCCAAAUUCUGAAGUUCAGCAGUAGAGUUCAGAUUGAAAAAAUCAUUGCCAAAAUCUUGGUACAUACGCUGCAGUUUCAAGCUGCACUUUAAUCCAGUACUAACCCUGUUGUAGUUUAUAAUAGUGAUGGUUCAAACGGAAUACUCCCCUUAUUUAAUUAAUAGGGUUAGGGUAAAAGUUAUAGUAAAGCAGAAAACUGUAAGAUGUUACCUACAGCACAUCUAAGGUGUAUAGUGGUUUGAAAUAAUGUUAAUGUAAUGUUAUGUUAACUUGUGAAGAAAAAACAGAAGCAUAAAGUGGUCAUUGAUCAUAUCUUUU